GGUUGCGUAGCGCAGUGGUAGCGCGUGUACGUUCCAUGCUCUAGAGAUCUCGAAUUCUCGAUUUCGGGAUCUCUGGAGCGUUUGCACUAGGUCGUGGGUUCGAUUCCUACCGCGACUG